rnacentral:rRNA from 1 species
CAGCAGCCGCGGUAAUUCGUAGGUGGCAAGCGUUGUCCGGAAUUAUUGGGCGUAAAGCGCGCGCAGGCGGUUUCUUAAGUCUGAUGUGAAAGCCCCCGGCUCAACCGGGGAGGGUCAUUGGAAACUGGGAAACUUGAGUGCAGAAGAGGAAAGUGGAAUUCCAAGUGUAGCGGUGAAAUGCGUAGAGAUUUGGAGGAACACCAGUGGCGAAGGCGACUUUCUGGGACGUUACUGACGCUGAGGCGCGAAAGCGUGGGGAGCAAACAGGAUUAGAUACCCUGGUAGUCCACGCCGUAAACGUUGGGCGCUAGGUGUGGGUUCCCUUCCACGGGAUCCGUGCCGCAGCUAACGCAUUAAGCGCCCCGCCUGGGGAGUACGGCCGCAAGGCUAAAACUCAAAGGAAUUGACGG